rnacentral:rRNA from 1 species
UACGUAGGGGGCUAGCGUUGUCCGGAAUCAUUGGGCGUAAAGAGCGUGUAGGCGGCCCGGUAAGUCCGCUGUGAAAGUCGGGGGCUCAACCUCGGAUGCCGGUGGAUACUGUCGGGCUUGAGUACGAAAGAGGGUCGCGGAAUUCCCGGUGUAGAGGUGAAAUUCGUAGAUAUCGGGAGGAACACCGUGGCGGAGGAGGC